AUUGAACGCUGGCGGAAUGCUUUACACAUGCAAGUCGAACGGCAGCACGGGGGCAACCCUGGUGGCGGGUGGCGAACGGGUGAGUAAUACAUCGGAACAUGCCCAGUCGUGGGGGAUAACGUAGCGAAAGCUACGCUAAUACCGCAUACGAUCUCUGGAUGAAAGCGGGGGACCGCAAGGCCUCGCGCGAUUGGAGUGGCCGAUGGGCAGAUUAGGUAGUUGGUGGGGUAAAGGCCUACCAAGCCGACGAUCUGUAGCUGGUCUGAGAGGACGACCAGCCACACUGGGACUGAGACACGGGCCCAGACUCCUACGGGAGGCAGCAGUGGGGAAUUUUUGGGACAAUGGGCGAAAGCCUGAUCCAGCCAUUCCGCGUGCAGGAUGAAGGCCCUCGGGUUGUAAAC
rnacentral:rRNA from 1 species